rnacentral:sRNA from 1 species
AUUAGGCGCCGAGUCAGCAGAAAGUGCGGGCCGAGUCAGCACCACUGGUGCUGACUCGGCCCGCAACUUCUGCCGACUCGGCGAUCAGC